GACAGAGGGUGCAAGCGUUGUUCGGAAUUAUUGGGCGUAAAGGGCGCGUAGGCGGUCUUGCAAGUCGGAUGUGAAAGCCCAGGGCUUAACCGUGGAAGUGCAUCCGAAACUGCAAGGCUUGAGUCCCGGAGAGGGUGGUGGAAUUCCCAGUGUAGAGGUGAAAUUCGUAGAUAUUGGGAGGAACACCAGUGGCGAAGGCGGCCACCUGGACGGAGACUGACGCUGAGGCGCGAGAGCGUGGGGAGCAACCAAG
rnacentral:rRNA from 1 species